rnacentral:rRNA from 1 species
CACGUAGGGCGCGAGCGUUGUCCGGAAUUAUUGGGCGUAAAGAGCUCGUAGGCGGCCAACUAAGUCAGACGUGAAAUCCCUCGGCUUAACCGGGGAACUGCGUCUGAUACUGGAUGGCUUGAGGUUGGGAGAGGGAUGCGGAAUUCCAGGUGUAGCGGUGAAAUGCGUAGAUAUCAUUUGGAACGCCAAUGGUGAAAACAGCUCGCUGGGGGUGCACUGACACUGAGACACGAAAGCCAGGGGAGCGAACGGG